CACGUAGGGCGCGAGCGUUGUCCGGAAUCAUUGGGCGUAAAGCGCGCGUAGGCGGUCAGGUAAGUCCGGUGUGAAAGUCAAAGGCUCGACCUUUGAAUGCCGCUGGAUACUGCUUGACUUGAGUCCGGAAGGGGCGAGUGGAAUUCCUGGUGUAGCGGUGAAAUGCGCAGAUAUCAGGAGGAACACCAAUGGCGAAGGCAGCUCGCUGGAACGGUACUGACGCUGAGGCGCGAAAGCGUGGGGAGCGAACAGG
rnacentral:rRNA from 1 species